rnacentral:rRNA from 1 species
UCGGGAAUUUUGGGCAAUGGGCGAAAGCCUGACCCAGCAACGCCGCGUGAAGGAUGAAGUAUUUCGGUAUGUAAACUUCGUAAGAAUAGGAAGAAUAAAUGACGGUACUAUUUGUAAGGUCCGGCUAACUACGUGCCAGCAGCCGCGGUAAUACGUAGGGACCAAGCGUUGUUCGGAUUUACUGGGCGUAAAGGGCGCGUAGGCGGUGUGUCAAGUCAGUUGUGAAAUCUCCGAGCUUAACUCGGAACGGUCAGAUGAUACUGCUUUGCUAGAGUGCAGAAGGGGCAAUCGGAAUUCUUGGUGUAGCGGUGAAAUGCGUAGAUAUCAAGAGGAACACCUGAGGUGAAGACGGGUUGCUGGGCUGACACUGACGCUGAGGCGCGAAAGCCAGGGGAGCAAACGGGAUUAGAUACCCCUGUAGUCCCUGAGCGGGCUGGCAAGGCGCAU